CGGGCGGACGGGUGGAGUAACGCGUGGACAACCUGCCCUAUGCAGGGGGAUAACAUCCGGAAACGGGUGCUAAUACCGCAUAAGCGCACAGUACCGCAUGGUACAGUGUGAAAAGCUGAGGCGGCAUAGGAUGGGUCCGCGUUGGAUUAGGCAGUUGGCGGGGUAACGGCCCACCAAACCGACGAUCCAUAGCCGGCCUGAGAGGGUGGACGGCCACAUUGGGACUGAGACACGGCCCAGACUCCUACGGAAGGCAGCAG
rnacentral:rRNA from 1 species